rnacentral:rRNA from 1 species
GUUGAACGCUGGCGGCAUGCCUUACACAUGCAAGUCGAACGGCAGCACGGUGGCUUUCCCCUGUUGGCGAGUGGCGAACGGGUGAGUAAUACAUCGGAACAUGUCCUUUAGUGGGGGAUAGCCCGGCGAAAGCCGGAUUAAUACCCCAUACGAUCCACGGGUUGAAGCGGGGGACCUUCGGGCCUCGCGCGAUAGGGUUGGCCGAUGGCUGAUUAGCUAGUUGGUGGGGUAAAGGCCUACCAAGGCGACGAUCAGUAGCUGGUCUGAGAGGGCGACCGGCCACAUUGGGACUGAGCCACGGCCCAGACUACUACGGGAGGCAGCAGUGGGGAAUUUUGGACAAUGGGCGAAAGCCUGGUACAGCAAUGCCGCGUGUGUGAAGAAGGCCUUCGGGUUGUAAAGCACUUUUGUCCGGAAAGAAAUCCUUGGCUCUAAUACAGUCGGGGGAUGACGGUACCGGAAGAAUAAGCACCGGCUAACUACGUG